CAGAGAUUAUAUAAUAGGUCCAGCUAUGCGUGCUUACUAUCAGUAAGGCAUUGCCCUUUCUGAUAGUUCUGACGUUCAGUUGGAAAUCUCUGUUGGGAUCAGAAGAAAUCUCAACUGGGAAGAGAAGGGGACGCUAUGAUGGAAGACGUUGGACAGAAUCCACUGGAUGAUGUGUAGCAGACGAUAUAAUUACCAGCAUUAGAAGCUGUAAAACAGAACCUUGACUGCCUGAAUUCAGACCUUGAAAAGGACCUGCAGAAACUGGAUAUGGAGAAUCAGGUUCUCCUUAGAAAGAUUAAAGAGAAAGAAGAAACUAUUUCAAGGAGAAAAGUAACGCAAUCCUAAGCAGGAAUGUGGUGGAGGUUCAGAAAAAGAUUUCAGGGUUAUUUACAAAUAUUGGCCUUGAAGAAGAAACCACAAAGCAGAUCCUGGAGGAAAUGAAGGCAAGACUACAGAAGUCAACAGAGUCCUGUGCAAAGCAAGAGGAGGAACUGGCCAAGGCAGAGGCAAUGUCUCUUCCACUGAGGGUCUGCCCGGGAUAGAAUGGGAGAGAAUCCCAAGGGUCUUAGAAACAGAUCUGCUUGAGGCAUAGGAGGGGGAGGUACAAAAACAUCUUGCAAAUGAAUUUCUGAUUCUUAUGCAUUCUUAUGCAGCUGAAGGGAAAGAAAACUUCUAUUAAAAAUACUGCUUUU
rnacentral:lncRNA from 1 species